CGUGGUGGGCGACCACCUGGGAGGCGGCGGCGCUCUGGUCGCUGCCGAGCGGGGUGAGUUCGAGGUCCUCGGCUGCGA
rnacentral:tRNA from 1 species